GUCCAAGUUAAGAGUUUGUAACUGUGAACCAGGAGAAUCCCACCACCUUCCGGUCAAAACAGAACAGUGAAGGAAAUUGGAGAAAAGUUUGUUCACUUACUGAGUACCUAAUUUGAGCCAAGCAUUGGGCUAGGUGCUGGGCAAACAUAAGGGCAGAUGUGGUCCCCAUCCUUGUGGAACUUACAGCUCUUAACUAUGUGACCUCCAAAAAGUAGAAUGCUGAAAUAAAACUGGGACAUCACAGAGCCUGGUCACAUGAGAAAGUACAUAGAAAAGCACUCUGCAAAGUAAAAAGCAUCUUGCAAAUGUCAUGUCAAUAUCACUAGUGCACUGAGGUCUCUAGGCCAUUGGCCCAGCAGUCUUCUUCCUUCUGCAUCUCCCCAAGAGACUUCCAGAAAAAGCCUAGACAGGGCUACAGACUGACAGAGCCACUGACCAAAUGCCUCUGGGUAGGUGAAUCAAACAAUACUCUCAUACCACUCAUAGUCUACCCUCCGGCUCUGGUGAAUCUAACUCACAAUAUUUUUUUCUUUUUUUGAGACAGGGUCUCACUCUGUUGCCCAGGUGAGAGUGCAGUGGCACGAACACAGCUCACUGCAGCUUCAACCCCCUGGGCUCAAGCAAUUCUCUUGCCUCAGCUUCCCAUGUAGCUGAGACCAAAGUCAUUCACCACCAGGACCAGCUAAUUUUUUUUUUUUAAAUUUUUCAUAGAAACAGGGCCUCACUUUGUUGCCCAGGCUGGUCUCAAACUCCUGGGCUCAAGCAAACCUCCCGCCUCGGACUUCCAAAGUGCUGGGAUUAUGGAAUACUGCUGUUCUUACCACUACUGAAUACUCUGUGAAACUCUAAAAUUCCAAUACUACUACUUGGGUUGGGGAUGGUUGGAGAGGCAUUGUGUCUAUACUGUGACUAAAAAAAAACUGGCCAAUGAGAAGGACAGAGACAGUAGUUAAGAAGGGUGAGUUACUAGAAGUAGAAGGAGUAGAAAGCUACUGCAAUAUUCCAGAAGCGAAAUAAUGAGGCCUUGAAUUCACACAAUGGCAGCAGGGAUGAAGAAAAGGGGUGCCAUUGGAAAUAGAUUCGAGGUAGAAAAGACAGAACCUAUUGACCAAAUAAAAAGACAGGGGAUUGGGGAAAGGGCUGCUGUUGACUCCAAGGUCUCCCUCAAGUCUGGAUAAUGAGUGGAUGGUGGUAGUGGGGUCGACCAAGACCUAGAACACAAGGGGAAGAUAGAAGAAAAGAUCAAGGGGAAGGUGGAAAUGAUGAGCUGUGCUUUGAACAUGCUGAAUUUGAGGGAGUUGUAGGAUGUGUCCACUGUAGGCCUGACAUUCAGAGAUGAGGUCUGGGGCAUGGAGAAAGACAUUGACGGAACCUGAGGGCAGAGAAAUAACAACACGGAUUUACUAAAUACUUUGUACAUACAAGGUACUGCACUAAAUACAUUUCUUUACUCUCAUUUAAUUUGGAUAGCAACCCACAAAAUAGAUAUUGUGAUGUCUAUUUUAAGGAUCUGGCUGCUGCAGCCAGAAAAGUCA
rnacentral:lncRNA from 10 species